GGGAUGUGAGUCUGCUGCUGACCAGCAUUCUGACCUGGGGCUGACUCUGGCCACAGUUCUAACAACUGUGAAAUGAGAGAAUAAGAUCAGAUUUAAAUGCAACAAACUUUUAUUAAAGAUGUGUAGGAAACAACAUUGAAUAAUAACUGUUCAUGGCCUGCAGGGUUACACAACUAGGGAGAUGACACACACACACACACACACACACACACACACACACACACACAUAUACAUUCAGAUGUGGUUAUAAUAGGGAAUGAACAGUAUUUUAAGGGAAAAUGAGGCAGGAGAGAAAUUGGUUUCACCUUUGGAGGAGGUAGGCCUUGAGUACGAUUGAAUAAGGUGCUGAUGGGUGGAAAUGGAUGUAAAGAACAGGAGGUGUCUCUGGAAGAUAAAACAGGCGAACAAAAAGAGGGACCAGAAGACUGGGUAGGUGCAGAGGGUCAGUUCUGGGAGUGAGCAGCAGGUGGCUAUGGUGUGAGCACAGGUACAUAUCACAUGGCAGGGACUCAGGCAACAUCUGCUGAGUGACAAGUGGCGGCAGUGAGGUUGUACGGGAGGACAGGGAGGCCUGUUCCUGGCAGGGGAGCCACAUGCAUGUGGAGCUCAUAUGGGUUUCUGAAAGGGAGACAGGCCACUCUGAUGGGCUCUGUGUCCAAGGACAGGGAGACCACGGGAAGCGAGGCCCAAAGGCUGAGAGGUAAGGUCCAGGGAGGAGAAGGAAAGGGUUUGAAUUCAGAUAGCAACACCGGAGUGGGAGGGAUCUGAAAAAUAGAGCAGAAGCUCCUUCAGGCAUCCGGAGGCUGACCAGACAUGCAGGGAGACAGAGAAGAAAGAGAUGAAGAGAAUGCUGGGUUUUGAGCCUGGGCAGUGGGGAGGGUAGAAAUACAGAAAGAGACAAACAGCCUCAAGGAGAGGUUUGGGGAGGAGAAGAUCAGUUCAAUUUCGUGAGAAGUUCUGCAGGGUGUCUAAGCAGAGACGGCCAGCAGAGUAGGCCGGUAGAAAUGUGGGGAUCUGGGGAGCUGGAAAUCGGGGGCUCAUGGAAGCACUGGCUGAAGAUGUGGACGCGGAGGAGAGAGACAGAAGCGAUGUGCUGGGAGAGGAGGCCCGGCCAGCAGAGGAGCAGGACAAGGAAGAGGACGCCAUGCUUGUGGCUGUGCACUGGAAGCACUGGAGAUCCUGCUGCCACACAGCUUCCGGUCCAGGCUGAGGACGGCGGCCACUUGGUGUGGAAGACACAGGAGCUGUUGCAUUUGCACCCAGGUAUGGAAGUUAGUUUUGCAAAGGAGGUGGGGACAUCCUCUGCUCUCGAGGGAAGGAAGGGUGGUGGUGUGAGUGAGUGAGCUCUGAGGGGGGUGAGAGGAGACUCCAGGGGCCCUGUGGGAAGGCCUGGACCUGCUCAGUAAGGGGCGUGCUGAGAGAUUCUGCAGGUAGAAGGUAGAGGUGGGGAUCUGGGGCAUCUGAGGAGAGUGACAGUGGCCACUGACAGUGGCCUCAGGGGAGAGCCAGACUCAGCCUGUGCUGGGCCUGCAGCCGCACCUCCUCUGGGGCCUGGCAGCCGAAGGUUUGGAGUGAAUGCAGUGGAUGGCCAUGAGGGGCCCUCGGGGCAGGCC
rnacentral:lncRNA from 10 species